rnacentral:lncRNA from 1 species
CACACCAAACCCACCAAUUCAGAAAGGAAAAAAAGCUAACCUCUUCUGAUUCUUUUAUAGCUUAAAAAUGGUUUAAAAUGACUUUUGCCAUUCAACUCGUAUCAGUUCAAGAAGCUCUGGAAUAAGUAACCACUGAAGAAAUCUCUACUCCAGUGCCCACAGCACACAAGAGUCAAAACAAAUAAGCAACUAAGAUCCCCCGAUCACAAAUUUCCAAAGAACUGGAGGAGGGGAAGAAACAGGGUGAAAAUGGUGGUAUGAAAGGGAAUGGAUGUUAGCAGCACUGCUUCAAUAACUGAUCUAUUCUGGAUGAAAUACCCUUUUUUAUGUGCAGUAAAUUCUGAACAAGGCUAAAUUUUAGGAUAUUCCUUGAACUGAAAUUAGAAAAUACCCUGACAAUGGAAGCAGCUCUUUCAUCUAAGUUUAAUAAGAGCCUCUUUCUCCAUGGGCCACUGUUGUGAACAGAAGCCUUUUCUGGCAUCAAAAGCUGUCACAGUAGCCCUUCCAUCUCUUUCAUGAAAGCCUCAUAGACAUCAUCCUUAGUUUGUACUGAGACAGGAACAGAAGGACCAGAUUUGGGUGCUGCUUUGGCAAGAGGCACAGCAGAAUCAUCCUCUGACUUUCUUUGGGGAGCAGCAGUAGCCCCUUUAUUCUCCCGACGUACUCUCAGUGCAGUGGGCACAAAUCGAGUAAUCUCUGCCUUGGGAUUAGUGAUCUGUGGCUUGGCACUGAUGGUUGCUGUGGCUUUCUUCUCAAUGGUGGCUGCACUUGUAUCAUCCGCCUUGGGUCGCUGAAUCAAGUUGGGUGGGGCACUUAAAACCCCAGGGUUUGGCAAGGGAGCUGGUGGGAACAGCCCAGGGGGGGCAGGUCCAAGGGGAGGCACCAAAGGUGGGCGCAUCAUGCCAGGACGAGGUGGAGGAAUACCU